rnacentral:tRNA from 1 species
GGAGAGGUGGCCGAGUGGACUAAGGCGCACGCCUGGAGAGCGUGUGGGCCCUAACGGGCCUCGCGGGUUCGAAUCCCGCCCUCUCCGCCA